rnacentral:SRP_RNA from 1 species
GCCGGGUGCAGUGGCGCGCGCCUGUACUCCACGUUACCGGGAGGCUGAGGCUGGAGGAUCGUUUGAGCUCAGGAGCUCUGAGCUGCAGCGGACUAUGUCGAUCGGGUGUCCGCACUAAGUUCGGUAUCGAUAUGUGGGCUGCCUGGGGGAGCCCGGGCCACCAGGUCGUAAGGAGGGGUGCACCGGCCCAGGUCGGACACGGAGCAGGUCAAAGCCCCGUGCCGCUCCAGUAGUGGGAUCGCGCCUGUAAAGACGUCUGUGUGCAGCCUGAGUAACCGCGGGACCCGUCUUUUU